rnacentral:rRNA from 1 species
AGAGUUUGAUUCUGGCUCAGAUUGAACGCUGGCGGAAUGCUUUACACAUGCAAGUCGAACGGCAGCACGGGAGCUUGCUCCUGGUGGCGAGUGGCGAACGGGUGAGUAAUGCGUCGGAACGUACCGAGUAAUGGGGGAUAACGCAGCGAAAGCUGUGCUAAUACCGCAUACGCCCUGAGGGGGAAAGUGGGGGAUCGCAAGACCUCACGUUAUUCGAGCGGCCGACGUCUGAUUAGCUAGUUGGUGGGGUAAAGGCUCACCAAGGCGACGAUCAGUAGCGGGUCUGAGAGGAUGAUCCGUCACACUGGAACUGAGACACGGUCCAGACUCCUACGGGAGGCAGCAGUGGGGAAUUUUGGACAAUGGGGGCAACCCUGAUCCAGCCAUUCCGCGUGAGUGAAGAAGGCCUUCGGGUUGUAAAGCUCUUUCAGCCGGAACGAAACGGUACGCUCUAAUAUAGUGUGCUAAUGACGGUACCGGCAGAAGAAGCACCGGCUAACUACGUGCCAGCAGCCGCGGUAAUACGUAGGGUGCGAGCGUUAAUCGGAAUUACUGGGCGUAAAGCGUGCGCAGGCGGAUUGUUAAGCAAGAUGUGAAAUCCCCGGGCUUAACCUGGGAAUGGCAUUUUGAACUGGCAGUCUAGAGUGUGUCAGAGGGGGGUGGAAUUCCACGUGUAGCAGUGAAAUGCGUAGAUAUGUGGAGGAACACCAAUGGCGAAGGCAGCCCCCUGGGAUAACACUGACGCUCAUGUACGAAAGCGUGGGUAGCAAACAGGAUUAGAUACCCUGGUAGUCCACGCCCUAAACGAUGUCAACUGGUUGUUGGGGGGAGUGAAAUCCCUUAGUAACGAAGCUAACGCGUGAAGUUGACCGCCUGGGGGAGUACGGUCGCAAGAUUAAAACUCAAAUGAAUUGACGG